rnacentral:rRNA from 1 species
UACGUAGGGUGCAAGCGUUGUCCGGAAUUAUUGGGCGUAAAGAGCUCGUAGGCGGUCUGUCGCGUCGGAUGUGAAAACCCAGGGCUCAACCCUGGGCCUGCAUUCGAUACGGGCAGACUAGAGUUCGGUAGGGGAGACUGGAAUUCCUGGUGUAGCGGUGGAAUGCGCAGAUAUCAUUAGGAACACCGGUGGCGAAGGCGGCGACCUGGGUAGAUACUGACGCUGAGGCGCGAAAGCGUGGGGAGCAAACAGG